rnacentral:rRNA from 1 species
AUGGAGAUCCCGCUGGAAGAUAUACGGAGGCCGCUAAUGCGAACGCGUGCUAACGAUCCUGACACGGUGCAGCAGCUCACGGACAGCAUCCGUGUCAUCGGCCUCCAAGUACCUGUGGGCAUCUUUUCCUUUAACAUUAAUUUUACUUACCAAAAGUUAUUAGCUACUCCAUUAACCUCCUCUAAAGCAGUGACCAAACGACAUACAAGCAAAUUCAGACGCCAAGUGUUUGCAUUCCAUGAUAAUCGGAAGCUCAGGCCCCAGGUAUGCUUCAUCUUGAACAACUGCUUCAACCGCAAAGGGCCUUACUUCUGUUUUUCCUUGGCCAUCGAAGUAGAAGGUGCCCCCUUCUGGUUCGGGCACAUGGGUAAUUAUACCCGGUCUUCAGUCAGUUGGACGCCUUCCUUUCCUGGUCUCCUGCUUGUGGACGCCUUGAGCCUCCCAAUCUUGAUCUCUGAAUGGUGGACGUCUCAGCCUCUUUCCCAUGUGACUGGUGAACUCCCUUUCGCCUGA